GAUGAACGCUGGCGGCGUGCCUAAUACAUGCAAGUCGAGCGAACAGACGAGGAGCUUGCUCCUCUGACGUUAGCGGCGAACGGGUGAGUAACACGUGGAUAACCUACCUAUAAGACUGGGAUAACUUCGGGAAACCGGAGCUAAUACCGGAUAAUAUAUUGAACCGCAUGGUUCAAUAGUGAAAGACGGUUUUGCUGUCACUUAUAGAUGGAUCCGCGCCGCAUUAGCUAGUUGGUAAGGUAACGGCUUACCAAGGCGACGAUGCGUAGCCGACCUGAGAGGGUGAUCGGCCACCCUGGAACUGAGACACGGUCCAGACUCCUACGGGAGGCAGCAGUAGGGAAUCUUCCGCAAUGGGCGAAAGCCUGACGGAGCAACGCCGCGUGAGUGAUGAAGGUCUUCGGAUCGUAAAACUCUGUUAUUAGGGAAGAACAAAUGUGUAAGUAACUAUGCACGUCUUGACGGUACCUAAUCAGAAAGCCACGGCUAACUACGUG
rnacentral:rRNA from 1 species